UGGUAGUUGACUGGUUAACACCAUGGCUUUAAUAUUGAAAGGACGUGGGUUCCAUUCCCAGUGGUCC
rnacentral:tRNA from 1 species